CUAAACCCGGCCUCUGUUCAUGUUCUAGAGCUCUAAUUUGCAUGUUGCUAAUGGUUUUUAACUCCCGUGUGAACUACAUUGUCCCCUCAGCUGGCUUCGUUGUCGGCGUGCAUAUAUGGUUUCUAGCUUGGGAUGUGAAGAAUCCACUUACAAGCUAUUUUCCUACUUUUCUUCAAAUCAAACCAUUGUUGAUUACCUUUAGAAAUCACGUUUAUUCAUGUAUCUCAUAUGUACAUCCAUCUUGUUUAGUUAAAGGCCAUUCUUCUCUUUCCCCUUGCAUAUUAGUUACUUAUUCUUAGAGAGCAUGGCUUGAUUUCCUUCUUCUAGCUUUUUCCAUUCUACAUUUUUUCUUCUGUUUAAUGGAAAGGAUGCUUAAAGUUAAAGGUGCACCUCAAUUAUUUGUAUUACCUUGCAGCUUUCUUCUACAUAGUUGUGCUCCUAUUGGAAUAUAUAUGCUAACGUUUUACAUUUUUUGGUCAGGCUUCUGCAUGUAUAAGUGUUGUUUAUGGUGGUACCUAUGUGCUAAAUAAGCCAGAGGGUCAGGAGCAUUGGCAAGGUUGCUCACUAAUGAUCUGGAAGUGUACUUGCAUGAUAGAGAAAGAAACUGGUUAUUCCUAAUUGCUAAAUGUGCUAUUGCAGAUCCAAGGUCCCUGAGUUGGUUAGUGUUUACAGUAUUUUGCUCAUGCGCGGCCCAUCAUAGGAAUCAGCGAGCGGUGGCUCAAGCGAGACUGGGCGGGGCGAGCGUCGGACGGUGCAGCAGACUGGACAUGCGUUAGGAAUGGCGGUCAAGACCACGGGUGCCGCUUGGGGAGUGGACCAUCUACGAAGCUCGAUGGGCCUGCUACAUCUCUGCCUUUCAGAAGUGGCCACCGCCAUGGACCCUCCUAUAACGCAGGAGGGUCCUCCUCAAAUCAUGGGGGAGGGAGGCCGGAGAGUGCAAGCGGAGGUUUGAGGAAGAAGAGAAGAAGGAAGUAUCAAGAAGACCAAGAUGGGGCAUUUCGUGAUGAGUUGGAAAUUGGAGGUUGGGGUACAAUUGCCGAGGACUCAACGGGUUAUUAGGUUUUUGUUGCAGCUGGAAUGGUCAACUCACUUGUGCAUUA